CGGGGCGGGGGCGGCGUCUCUCCCGGGGCCCGCGCGGGGGCGAGGGGCGAGGGGCUGCGAGGGGCCGGGCCGGGGGCACGUCCAGGGGCGCCCCGCAGGCCUCGCGCCGCAGCCGCGGCCCCCGCGCCCUCGCCGGCGACGUCGCGCAGCCUCUUCCCACGCAGGAGCCGGGAUGCGCGACUAAUGGAAGCGUCGGCCCCGCCUUGCUCUCCACGGACACGGAAUGUUUGUCCCUAUUGAGAAUAGGACCUUGUAGCCGGCCCCGAUACUAGCGUUGACAUGGGCGAGGCGCGGGGGGAGGCGCUGGCUGAUGGCGAAGGAGGGCAGGCCGCUGGCAUCCCCGGCAGAGGACACGGCAGACGUCACCUCGCGGCACGUGAUGGGCGGCUGAGGGAGAUGCAGAGGAAGAUGGAGCCCCUCAUUACUGCAUCCGGGGAAUGUGGGGAGGUCGGGCGUCGCAGGAGGCUGUCACGGGGCAGCGUCACUUCUUGCUCAGUGACUGGCCAUCCUGCCAGCCUGAGGCUCCGACACCCCUUCAACUCCUGCCACCCAGCUGCUCAGGACCACUCCCAGCUCCCUGCCCAGCCCAGCACCCACUUCAUUCCUAUCUCCAAGAACUACCCGCUCUCCCUCCACCCUGUGUCAAUCCAUGGGCCGCCUGAUCCAGCGUGUUUUCUGUUCUAGCAGAAGGGAGGGUCUACUGAUUAGUAGUAUGUUGGUGGAUUAUUUCCUUUUGUUCUUUCCCUCCAUAUUUUCUCUAAGUGAAAAAGUACCUAAUUUUUUCUUGAAUGCACAAAAAUAAGUGACGCGGAACCAGAAAUAUUGAUUUUUCCCCCCACAUGUAUAUUCAAUGCAAAGUGCAUUUGUUUCAGGGGCUGCCAUGGCAGUGCUAGGAAGCUGCUCCUGGAUGGGUGCUUAGGGGACCACGUGGUGCCAAGGAUUGACCCCAGGUAGCCCUUUGAGCUCUCUCCCCAGCUCAUGGCAUUUGGUGUGGAGAGCUCUCCUACACAGUGCAAAGGAGAGCCUGGGGCCCCUUCAUCUGAUUAUUGGCCAGUGGAGCUAGUAGUUCAGUGUGAGACCUGAGGAUGCAGCAAUGCUCCUGCCCUGGGAGUGUCUGGCUCACCCUGGCGAUGCUUGAGGGACCACGUGUGCUGGGAUCAACCUAGGGUUUGCCAAGCAGGCACCUUGACCUUUGUACUAUUUCUGUGAUCCUAGCAGAUUUGAUUUUUUGAUUGAUUUUUUUUUUAAACGUUUUGAGGAGUCACAAGCUACAAUACUCGGGGCUUUCUUCUACCACUACUCUCAGGGGUCGCUCCUGGCAGUGUUCUGGCAGAACUAUGGUACUGGGAGUUGAACCCAGGUCAGCUCUCUGCAAAGCCCUGCCCACUGUACUAUCUGGCCCCCAGAUUUGAAUUUUUAAAACUUUCUCUAAGAGACUUGGGAGAUAAAGUGAUAGUUUUACAUGGUUAGUUGUGCCUGACCGGGUUUGGACCUGGGUACCACAUGACUUCCAGGCAUCACUGGGUAUGUUCCCAGGAGACCUGAGCACCACUGGGGUAGUCCUGGUGGUCUCAGGCCUCACGGGUCCAGCAAUGCUGUAUUCUUGGACCCUGGGGCAUCGCAGGCCUGAUCGGCCAAACAUAGCCUUGGGGCUCAGAAGAUUAGUCAAGUAGCCAAGCACAUGGGACUGGAGAGAUAGUACAGCGGAUAGGGCGUUUGCCUUGCACACGCCGACCCGGGUUUGAUCCCUGGCAUCCCAUAGGGUCCCCCAAGCACCGCCAGGAGUAACUCCUGAGUGCAGAACCAGGAGUAGCCCCUGAGCAUCGCUGGGUGUGGUGGCCCAAAAAGAAGAGAAAAAAAAAAGGCUGAGUAUAUGCCUAGUGUGAGACCUUGAGUCCAGGUCUGAGCACCGCAUAGCCCCCAACCACUGCUGCUGGAGGCACCCCCUCUGACUGGCUGGAGUGACCACCUUUUCAGAACAACAGUGACAGCAGCACCAAAAAAGGAGGUAGGAGCUGUUGUCUCAGGUUUGAUCCCAGCAGCUCCAAAGGCAGCCCUCCGCACUGAUGGACGUGCCCCAACCAAGAACACACUUACUCUGGAGUUAAAGAAGUAUGUGGCCAGGGAGGCAGUGCGGCAGGAAAGCUGCUUGCUUGGCUUGAGCUGGCACUGUCAAUCCCAGGCACAGCAUAGGCUAACCCGAGUCCUGUCGUGAGUGACUCCUGAGUGCAGAGCCCGGAGUAGGCAUCCCUGACGAGCCCUCGGGCGGGCCCCAAACACCAAAAGCCCAAACAAAUUCGAGAAUUAUUCCAAGGGCAGCAGGUGGUCUCAGAGAAGCCUUGUAGGAUCUGCAUGCGCUUUCACAUGGACCGGAAGUGGCACUGACAGGAGAGGACUGUAGGACGCACUGGCCCAGACCCUACAACCCGCCCACCCCAAGCCAAGCGGGCCGCCUGUGACCCCAUGUUGGCUGGUGUGUGGCAGGCACCUCAGACUUGCACGCUGUCGCUUGGGACCUGGUAUGGUUCAGUGUUUGACACCUCUGUGACCAGUUUCAGGCCUGGAACUCUGCUCGUCACGUGCGCAGGCACCUGUUGGGUCCCUUGUGCCCGGAUCAGUGUGUGUGUUUCCCUCUCCCAAUCUCGUCAGCUGAACCUGGCUCUGGGCACCUGCAGUGUCAUUUGUGGAUGGUUGUGUGGGUCAUCCACAGGUUUCUGUCGCUAGAGGAAGUGGGGACACUGGUGGUCUUCACACUGGUCACUUGUCUCCCAUCUGGGCCACCCCCCAGCCAGGUCUAGGCCCUGGGUGGCAAGUGGCUCUCCAUGCAGCCCCCAGGAGCAAUGGGGUGUCCGGGGGGUGUUCUAGGCAUCCAUGCAGAUAAACCAAGGACCCUGUCUCUGGAGGGAAAAGCAGAGGAUUGACCGAAGCAGCAGGGUUUGGGGGUGGGGGGAGCCCCACGCUGAAGAGCAUGCAGUGGAGGAGUCACAGUGUGUGGCACACAUUCCAGAAGAGAAGGCGUCAUGUCAGAGGCAGGUAACUUCACAGCCCAGCACGCACCCGGUGGCUUCCAUGACACGUCUGCAGGGGGAGGUACAGUGUGCUUAAUGCAGCUGUGGAGCACUGAGACCUGCUCAGCUGGGGGGGGGGGGGCACCUUUUCCUCACUCGAAGGCAGCCAGUGCCUCCCUGGUGCAGAAUGAGUCAAGAGCAACUGGCUGGCUAUUCAUGUGGCCCUUGGAAAUGGACUCCACAUGAAAGGUGGGGUGGGUGGAGGCCGUGACAAUGGAGGUGCUCAUGGCCCCUCUUUCUGCCAGUAGUUCCAAGCUGGCCUCACUCCCAGCACAUCCCACCUGGCUCACGUAGCUGCCGAGAGACAUCCAUCCAUGAUCAAGCCAAGACCAAGCACAUGCCCACAGCUCAGGACAGAGGGCGUGUUCGUCUGCUUGGAGGGUGUGGGGCUCGCUCCUGAGGCCACGGAGCAGACUUCUGCCCACAGCCCGACUUGGACACAAUGACCACAAGCAGCGGCCUGGCCUCUGGGGCUAGCCUGGGAUGCUACCUGGGGGGAAGGACUGGAGAGGGGGCAGGGUGGAGACGGAGAUGGCACAGAGGGGCAGGCUUCAAAGGCAGACAUGGACAGAACUGGCUGCAGAGCCCCCAGCAUGGCCUGUGAGCCUGGGGGACCCAGUCCCAGUGCUGCCACCAUAGCCUCUUGCUCUACCGGGUUCUGCCUGUGUCACACAUCACUGGUCUGGGCUUCAGGAUUGGGCACCUGCCUUGUGCUGAGGGACAUGCCUGCUUCCUCCAGAGGACACUGGCCUGGCCUCCUAGAGCCUCCUGUGGAGGGUGCCCUGGUUCCUCAGAGCUUUCUUCCUGCCCCUUGCGGGUCCAGGUCACACUCACUGGAGAGCUUGGUUGCCUCCUGCAUGGCAGCCUCCGCAUGCAGGUUUGAGCCUUGAGCACCUGGGCACACAGGGUUUGCCCUUUACCUGCCACCCAACUGCAUGAAUGUGCUAGUAUGUGUGGCCAGAGGUCCAGCUUGUGCCAUGCUGUGGGGCACUGGGUCUGGCUUUCAUCACUCAGGCAAGUGGUACCCAUACUAUGUCAGAGCCAUGCAGGGAGGGACCGCAGCAAACAUUCCUGGGCUGUGUUACGUGGGCAGUGUGUGCAGUGCUGUGGGGCCCCAAGAACUCCAAGGUUGUGUCCUGCGUCAUAAUCUCACUUCCUGAGAUUUUGGCAUGUUCCACAAGAAGCCGAACUGCAGGGCUGGAAUAAUAGUACAGAGCGAGGGUGCUUGCCUUGCAUGUGACUGACCUGAAUUCAAUUUCCCGUCACCCUAUAUGCUGUCCUAAAUCCUGCUGGGGAUGAGCCCUGACACCAAUUGGUGUCCUCCCCUCCCCCAGAAGAUGGGCUGUGAUGGGGCAGACAGGGACUCAUAAUGUGGUGAGUGCUGGGAGGCAGCAAUUCUGCGAGAGAGCCAGGUCACCAGAGGAGGUUGGCAUCUGAUGUGUGUCCUACUCUACAUUUCAGUCUGGGCUGGAAGUGACACGCCACACAGACGGGCACAUCCUGCCACUACACCCGUGACCUGUGGCUCUCAGGGAGGCUGAUACAUGGAAGGGGACAGUGACAGUUCCUUGCCAUGUUGGCAGGGGACCUGAAGUGGCAGCUGGAGGUUGGGAGAUGGCUGGGAGCCGUGGGAGCACCUCACAGGAUCCGCCUAUGCAUGGGCUGGUUGGGGGUCAGGAACGAAAGGCGCCAGGGAGCACAUGGGCUCCGCGGGUGGAGAAAGCCACCUCUUAGCAGUCCCAAGGAAUGCAGCCAUGGUCACUCCCCUGGGCACUGUGCUCGUGCUGGCACUAUCCUCUGGGGUGGAAGUGGUGUGCAGGAGAUGGGUGGUAGGCCAGGUUUGUGCUCUGGAAAUGAGGUUCAAGAUGGUGGGAAGGGAACAGUAGGGAGGGGGCUGCUGCCUUCUCACAUGGGAUCAAAGAUGUCUGCAUCUGUUAAUGCAGGGGUGCAGAGUGGGCACAACUGCUGGCAGAUGCCUUCACCUCUGCUGUGUGGGGGUGGGGCGGCCAGGGUUGGAAAGGAAGACUGUAGAAAGUGCUGGUAUUCCCCGAGCCUGUGUGGAGACUCCGCGAGACUGUGUGGGAGUGUCACCUUCUCCAGGCAGGUGUGUGGAGGGAGGAAGGAACCCAGUCAGCAGGAUAGACUCGGUCAGUGCUGGGGGGCCCCAGCUUCAGGCUGGGGAGAAGAGGGCAGUGAGGAAACAUCAUGAAUUCCUUUGCUGUUGUUUGGAGGCACAUAGACAGUGCUCAUGACUCACUACUGACUCUGUGCUCAGGGAGCACUCCUAGUGGGCUUGGAGGACUCUCUGGGAUGCCAGAGAUCAAACCCGGGCCUGCCCUGUGCAAGGCCAGUGCCCUCCCCUCUGUGCUUUCACCCAGACCCCUGGAGACAUUACGAAUUCUAGGCAGGAUCCAGUCCUCAUCACUGCUGCCCUGCACCCGUUGGUCUGUCCCUGCUUUCUUGGUGUGGGGCCAUAUGCAGGUCGGUGUGUGCCGGACCGUGUCACGCUCCGACCCAUCUGACUAUGGGGACAGCUGACACCUUCUGUCCG